GUUUUCUCUCCCCAGCACCUAUGAGCUCAGCCCCCAGCCCAAGCCGAGCCCAGGUGUGUGCUCAAGAAAUUGUCUAAACAGGUCCUGAGCCUCCAUCUGGCACCCUGAGGAAGCACCACCACCAGCCAGUGUGGCCAAGGGGAGCCCAGGACUCUAGGUUCCAGCCUGUGCUGGAGCCCCCCAGCCCCCAGGCCACCCUGGCCCUUUCUCCUCUCUUGCCAGGCUCUUCUCCCCAGGCUGCCCAGCCCAGCUCCCCACGCCCUGCUGCAGCUCCCCACGGUAGCCUCACUCCUGCCUGCUUUUUAUAAAAUGGGCUUUGGGGAACAGUUUUAUUUGAAUAAAAAGGUUUCAGCUACUAAAAAAUUAGAAUUUAAACAUUGGUAACAAGACCUGGGAAUACAGUCCAAAUUGCUUAAUCACAGGAACCGGUUCUUGGACCCUUUCUGCACGCUGGGCGCUUGCAUACAUUAAUCUCCACAGCCUCGAGAGGUAUCUGACAGAAACCUGUUUGGGGGAAGAGGCGGCAUGUUCAGCCGCCUGCUCUGGUCCCUCUGUGGAGGCCCAGCUCAGAGGCUCCUUCCCUGGCUGAGGUUUCUGCCCCCUUCCUCUACCUGCCCAGCUCCGUGGGCCUCUCCCACAGCCGCCUUAUCUCAUUCACUGCAGGGUUCAGAGCUCUGCGAGCUUAUCUUAUCCUUGUGCUGGUCCCAGACUCCUUGAGGGCAAAGUCCAGGACUCAUUCAUCCUCCUCGUCUGGGCAGCCCCAACACAGUGCGGCCAUAAAAAAGGAAAAAAAGAAAGGAAACUUGUGCAAGGCAGACCCAGCUCCCUCUGACUGGCUCCUUGAUCACCAUGGACCUGUGCCCUUUUUCCGGCAGGCCCUGGGGUGGGCCUGUGCAUGUCUUGCCUCGCCAGGAUCCUGA
rnacentral:lncRNA from 1 species